rnacentral:rRNA from 1 species
GACGAACGCUGGCGGCGUGCUUAACACAUGCAAGUCUAACGGAAAGGCCCUGCUUUUGUGGGGUGCUCGAGUGGCGAACGGGUGAGUAACACGUGAGUAACCUGCCCUUGACUUUGGGAUAACUUCAGGAAACUGGGGCUAAUACCGGAUAGGAGCUCCUGCUGCAUGGUGGGGGUUGAAAAGUUUCGGCGGUUGGGGAUGGACUCGCGGCUUAUCAGCUUGUUGGUGGGGUAGUGGCUUACCAAGGCUUUGACGGGUAGCCGGCCUGAGAGGGUGACCGGCCACAUUGGGACUGAGAUACGGCCCAGACUCCUACGGGAGGCAGCAGUGGGGAAUAUUGCACAAUGGGCGGAAGCCUGAUGCAGCAACGCCGCGUGCGGGAUGACGGCCUUCGGGUUGUAAACCGCUUUCGCCUGUGACGAAGCGUGAGUGACGGUAAUGGGUAAAGAAGCACCGGCUAACUACGUGCCAGCAGCCGCGGUGAUACGUAGGGUGCGAGCGUUGUCCGGAUUUAUUGGGCGUAAAGGGCUCGUAGGUGGUUGAUCGCGUCGGAAGUGUAAUCUUGGGGCUUAACCCUGAGCGUGCUUUCGAUACGGGUUGACUUGAGGAAGGUAGGGGAGAAUGGAAUUCCUGGUGGAGCGGUGGAAUGCGCAGAUAUCAGGAGGAACACCAGUGGCGAAGGCGGUUCUCUGGGCCUUUCCUGACGCUGAGGAGCGAAAGCGUGGGGAGCGAACAGGCUUAGAUACCCUGGUAGUCCACGCUGUAAACGGUGGGUACUAGGUGUGGGGUCCAUUCCACGGGUUCCGUGCCGUAGCUAACGCUUUAAGUACCCCGCCUGGGGAGUACGGCCGCAAGGCUAAAACUCAAAGGAAUUGACGGGGCCCCGCACAAGCGGCGGAGCAUGCGGAUUAAUUCGAUGCAACGCGUAGAACCUUACCUGGGUUUGACAUGGAUCGGGAGUGCUCAGAGAUGGGUGUGCCUCUUUUGGGGUCGGUUCACAGGUGGUGCAUGGCUGUCGUCAGCUCGUGUCGUGAGAUGUUGGGUUAAGUCCCGCAACGAGCGCAACCCUUGUUCACUGUUGCCAGCACGUUAUGGUGGGGACUCAGUGGAGACCGCCGGGGUCAACUCGGAGGAAGGUGGGGAUGACGUCAAGUCAUCAUGCCCCUUAUGUCCAGGGCUUCACGCAUGCUACAAUGGCUGGUACAGAGAGUGGCGAGCCUGUGAGGGUGAGCGAAUCUCGGAAAGCCGGUCUCAGUUCGGAUUGGGGUCUGCAACUCGACCUCAUGAAGUCGGAGUCGCUAGUAAUCGCAGAUCAGCAACGCUGCGGUGAAUACGUUCCCGGG